ACAGGCGGCGGCCAGCCCGCGCUGCUGGUACCCCGUGUGCCUGCUGGCCGUGGGCCCCCCGGCUCCCACCCCUUAACCCCUUCCCGGCUUCCCUUUCCCAGACGGCCAUCCCCCAGCUGGCCUGGCCCACAAGAUUCCCAGAUUUCACAACCCGGGCUGGCGCUGACUCACGUACAGCUGCUGGUGUGUUCCUGGAGGCCCACACAGAACGAAUUCUAUGGUGCGCAGCGAGAGUACGAGCCAGUGGAGUGGCCCAGCUGCUCUGCUUCCUUGGUCCUGGAGAAGCUUGAUCCAGUGCCUCAAAUCAUCACCUUGCAGGCCCCUCCGUGACCAAGAGGGAAUCGGCCAGCUCCAGCUGGUGGUGCGUACCCCAUACAGUGCGGUCUCUGGCCUGCAGCACUCACAGAAGACAUUUCUGCACUUAGAUGUUCACAGUCUCGGAACAGAAGAUGCCCCGCCCCCGCCCCGCCCCGCCCCGCCCCCGCCCGUGCCAGUGCUGGAGUAUCUGGGCCUCUUCACAGAUGUCAGAGCCUGUGUUCCCCCGACCCCCAGCUGUUUCUUUGCUAGUAGGACGCUUCUGAGAUGCCCACAGAAUCCGGUGUAUCAGUAUAAUAUUCUUUUUUAUUGCUUCAUAGCAUCCCACGAAAGGGAGGGACGGAGGCUUAGGGAAUACUCAGACCAUUUCCAGUUUUUAGCAGUUAGGAAACACGGGAAACCCAUGCGGAUGAGGGUCUGCGUGAACAGUUUUCUUUGUCUUGUGUCAGUGACCAGUUUUUCAUAGUAAUUUGCACUGUGAAUCCAUACCAUCGCCAGGGGCCCAGUGUCUGUCGCUUUGCAUCUUUAUCAAGACUAUAGCGCCAGGGUUUUGCUGCUGCUAAUUUUAAUUUUAGCCAUCGGAAUUGUAUAUAAUGUGUGUAAUGAGACAUCACUACAAUGUUAAUUGAGUUGACUGAUGAAUAUCUUUCAACACAUUAACGUUUCUAGCUACAAGAAUUAUUGGGCUAGUGAGAUGACUCAGCAGGUAAAGAGAUUGCUGCCAAGCCUGGCGACUUGAGUUCGAGCCCCUGGACCCAUGUGGUGGAAAGUCUAACCCACUUCACAAAGUUAUUCUCUGACCUCCAGACUCCAGGGCCCAUGGUACACACGCCCCUCCACCCAUAAUAAAAUGUCCAAUGAGAAGAAAA